UACGUAGGUGGCAAGCGUUGUCCGGAUUUAUUGGGUUUAAAGGGUGCGUAGGCGGCUUUGUAAGUCAGUGGUGAAAUAUGGCAGCUCAACUGUCAAGGUGCCAUUGAUACUGCGGAGCUUGAGUACAGAUGAGGUAGGCGGAAUUGACGGUGUAGCGGUGAAAUGCGUAGAUAUCGUAAGGAAGACCAGUGGCGAAGGCGAGUCUCUGGACAGCAACUGACGCUGAGGCACGAAGGCCAGGGGAGCAAACGGG
rnacentral:rRNA from 1 species